rnacentral:rRNA from 1 species
ACGAAAGCUGGGGGCACGAACCGGAUUAGAUACCCGGGUAGUCCCAGCUGUAAACUAUGCUCGCUAGGUGUCAGGGACGGUGCGACCGUUUCUGGUGCCGCAGGGAAGCCGUGAAGCGAGCCACCUGGGAAGUACGGUCGCAAGGCUGAAACUUAAAGGAAUUGGCGGGGGAGCACUACAACGGGUGGAGCCUGCGGUUUAAUUGGACUCAACGCCGGAAAACUCACCGGGGGCGACAGCAAUAUGUAGGUCAAGCUAAAGACUUUACCAGAAUCGCUGAGAGGAGGUGCAUGGCCGUCGUCAGUUCGUACUGUGAAGCAUCCUGUUAAGUCAGGCAACGAGCGAGACCCGUGCCCACUGUUGCCAGCAUGUCCUUCGGGACGAUGGGUACUCUGUGGGGACCGCCGAUGCUAAAUCGGAGGAAGGUGCGGGCUACGGUAGGUCAGUAUGCCCCGAAUCUCCCGGGCUACACGCGGGCUACAAUGACUGGGACAAUGGGCUCCUACCCCGAAAGGGGAUGGUAAUCUCAUAAACCCAGCCGUAGUUCGGAUCGAGGGCUGCAACCCGCCCUCGUGAAGCUGGAAUCCGUAGUAAUCGCGUUUCAACAUAGCGCGGUGAAUACGUCCCU